GUCGGAAUGCCGCAGUGGUCUACCGGGUCGGCCUUAAGCUUCCUUGAGCUAAGUUAUCCGAUGGCGAGAGCCGCGUGGGUUCGAACCCCACUUCUGACA